rnacentral:rRNA from 1 species
GAUGAACGCUGGCGGCGUGCCUAAUACAUGCAAGUCGAGCGAACGGACGAUAAGCUUUCUUUUCUGAUGUUAGCGGCGGACGGGUGAGUAACACGUGGAUAACCUACCUAUAAGACUUGGAUAACUUCGGGAAACCGGAUCUAAUACCGGAUAAUAUUUUGAACCGCAGGGUUCAAAAGUGAAAGACGGUCUUGCUGUCACUUAUAGAUGGAUCCGCGCUGCAUUAGCUAGUUGGUAAGGUAACGGCUUACCAAGGCAACGAUGCAUAGCCGACCUGAGAGGGUGAUCGGCCACACUGGAACUGAGACACGGUCCAAGCUCCUACGGGAGGCAGCAGUAGGGAAUCUUCGGCAAUGGGCGGAAGGCUGACGGAGCACCGCCGCGUGAGUGAUGAAGGUCUUCGGAUCGUAAAACUCUGUUAUUAGGGAAGAAAAUAUGUCUAAGUAACUGUGCACAUCUUGACGGUACCUAAUAAGAAAGCCACGGCUAAAUACGUG